UACGAAGGGGGCUAGCGUUGCUCGGAAUCACUGGGCGUAAAGGGUGCGUAGGCGGGUUUUUAAGUCAGGGGUGAAAUCCUGGAGCUCAACUCCAGAACUGCCUUUGAUACUGAGGAUCUUGAGUAUGGGAGAGGUGAGUGGAACUGCGAGUGUAGAGGUGAAAUUCGUAGAUAUUCGCAAGAACACCAGUGGCGAAGGCGGCUCACUGGCCCAUUACUGACGCUGAGGCACGAAAGCGUGGGGAGCAAACAGG
rnacentral:rRNA from 1 species